rnacentral:miRNA from 1 species
CAGGAUGCCCAGUAAAAUUUGCGCUACAGAUAAAUAACGAAAAAUAUUUUAAGUAUGCCCCAUGCAAUAUUUGGGACAUACUUAUACUAAAGAAUCAUUCCACUUUUUUCUGAAAUUCAAAUCUAACUGAGAAUCCUGUA